rnacentral:rRNA from 1 species
GCCUAACACAUGCAAGUCGAACGAAGUAGCAAUACUUAGUGGCAGACGGGUGAGUAACAUGUAGGUAUCUGCCCUUUGGCCUGGAAUAACACGAGGAAACUUGUGCUAAUACCGGAUAAGUCUUUACGGAGAAAGCUUUAUGCACCAUUGGAUGAGCCUGCACUUGAUUAGUUUGUUGGUGGGGUAAUGGCCUACCAAGACUGUGAUCAAUAGCUGAUUUGAGAGGAUGAUCAGCCACAUUGGGACUGAGACACGGCCCAAACUCCUACGGGAGGCAGCAGUGGGGAAUCUUGCACAAUGGAGGAAACUCUGAUGCAGCGAUGCCGCGUGAGUGAAGAAGGCCCUUGGGUUGUAAAGCUCUUUCGUCGGGGAAGAAAAUGACUGUACCCGAAUAAGAAGGUCCGGCUAACUUCGUGCCAGCAGCCGCGGUAAUACGAAGGGACCUAGCGUAGUUCGGAAUUACUGGGCUUAAAGAGUUCGUAGGUGGUUGAAAAAGUUAGUGGUGAAAUCCCAGAGCUUAACUCUGGAACUGCCAUUAAAACUUUUCAGCUAGAGUAUGAUAGAGGAAAGCAGAAUUUCUAGUGUAGAGGUGAAAUUCGUAGAUAUUAGAAAGAAUACCAAUUGCGAAGGCAGCUUUCUGGAUCAUUACUGACACUGAGGAACGAAAGCAUGGGUAGCGAAGAGGAUUAGAUACCCUCGUAGUCCAUGCCGUAAACGAUGUGUGUUAGACGUUGGAAAUUCAUUUUUCAGUGUCGCAGGGAAACCGAUAAACACACCGCCUGGGGAGUACGACCGCAAGGUUAAAACUCAAAUGAAUUGACGGGGACCCGCACAAGUAGUGGAGCAUGUGGUUUAAUUCGAAGAUACGCGCAGAACCUUACCAACACUUGACAUGUUCGUCGCGACUUUAAGAGAUUAAAGUUUUCGGUUCGGCCGGACGAAACACAGGUGCUGCAUGGCUGUCGUCAGCUCGUGUCGUGAGAUGUUGGGUUAAGUCCCGCAACGAGCGCAACCCUCACUUUUAGUUGCCAUCAUUAAGUUGGGCACUCUGAAAGAACUGCCAGUGAUAAGCUGGAGGAAGGUGGGGAUGACGUCAAGUCCUCAUGGCCCUUACGUGUUGGGCUACACACGUGCUACAAUGGUAUCUACAACAGGAAGCAAGACUGCGAAGUUAAGCAAAUCCCUAAAAGAUACCUCAGUUCGGAUUGCACUCUGCAACUCGAGUGCAUGAAGCUGGAAUUACUAGUAAUCGUGGAUCAGCGUGCCACGGUGAAUGCGUUCCCGGGUCUUGUACACACCGCCCGUCACACCAUGGGAGUUGGUUCUACCUUAAGGCAAGGUUUUAAACCC